AUGGACUGCCAAUGCAAAGUGGAAACUCUCAUUGUAUCACUGUGGUUCACCUUUGGUGGAGGCACCAAACUCAUCAUUAAAACUGGUCCCACAGUGAAGCCCUCCGUGUCUCUGCUCCCUCCGUCUCCUCUGCAGUUGUCUGAGGGAUCGGCCUCGCUGCUCUGCCUGCUGUCUGGCUACUCUCCACAGGGGGCGCUGGUGAGCUGGACAGUGGACGGCUCAGAGGUGAAGGACGGGGUUCUGACCAGCGCAGAAGAACUGAAGAACGGCCGUUACAGUCGCAGCAGCACCCUUACCCUCAGCAGAGACCUCUGGGAAAAGGGGGAGGAGUUUACCUGUACGGUCUCCCAUGACAACAUCAAUCAUCCAGUCACGUUCAGAAAGAGUCAGUGUGAAGGCUAGUGGCUCCAAGAGAGAGUUUAACAUAGAGCUGCUUAUGACCCAUCUACAAUAGAGUUUAAAUUCUACACAAUGCUGCCAUUUCUGUCUUUACUCUGUUCACUGUCCUGUUGCUCUUCCUGUAGUUUUUGCUGAAAUAAAGCUGAAUUGUUGAGUUAAUAGUGAUGAUCAGUGUGAUGAGAGAGUGUGUUUAUCUGUAGAUUCAGUGCUCUGUGUUGUGCUUCAGUGAGUUUGACUGAAGGAAGUUCAGAGGGAGAAAUGAAACUACUCGGUCCUGUUAAUGCAAAUAUCACAUCUGCAAAUACGCCUCAUUGCUCUCUCUCUCUUUCUGUGUCUGAAAACUAACAAUGAAGAUUGUUCAAGAUUAAAUACCAAACUGUC